UGACGUCAAGUCAUCAUGGCCCUUACGACCAGGGCUACACACGUGCUACAAUGGCGCAUACAAAGAGAAGCGACCUCGCGAGAGCAAGCGGACCUCAUAAAGUGCGUCGUAGUCCGGAUUGGAGUCUGCAACUCGACUCCAUGAAGUCGGAAUCGCUAGUAAUCGUGGAUCAGAAUGCCACGGUGAAUACGUUCCCGGGCCUUGUACACACCGCCCGUCACACCAUGGGAGUGGGUUGCAAAAGAAGUAGGUAGCUUAACCUUCGGGAGGGCGCUUACCACUUUGUGAUUCAUGACUGGGGUGAAGUCGUAACAAGGUAACCGUAGGGGAACCUGCGGUUGGAUCACC
rnacentral:rRNA from 1 species